AGAGUUUGAUCCUGGCUCAGGUUGAACGCUGGCGGCAGGCCUAACACAUGCAAGUCGAACGGUAACAGGAAGCAGCUUGCUGCUUUGCUGACGAGUGGCGGACGGGUGAGUAAUGUCUGGGAAACUGCCCGAUGGAGGGGGAUAACUACUGGAAACGGUAGCUAAUACCGCAUAAUGUCGCAAGACCAAAGAGGGGGACCUUCGGGCCUCUUGCCAUCGGAUGUGCCCAGAUGGGAUUAGCUUGUUGGUGAGGUAACGGCUCACCAAGGCGACGAUCCCUAGCUGGUCUGAGAGGAUGACCAGCCACACUGGAACUGAGACACGGUCCAGACUCCUACGGGAGGCAGCAGUGGGGAAUAUUGCACAAUGGGCGCAAGCCUGAUGCAGCCAUGCCGCGUGUAUGAAGAAGGCCUUCGGGUUGUAAAGUACUUUCAGCGGGGAGGAAGGGGUUAAGGUUAAUAACCUUAGCCAUUGACGUUACCCGCAGAAGAAGCACCGGCUAACUCCGUGCCAGCAGCCGCGGUAAUACGGAGGGUGCAAGCGUUAAUCGGAAUUACUGGGCGUAAAGCGCACGCAGGCGGUCUGUCAAGUCGGAUGUGAAAUCCCCGGGCUCAACCUGGGAACUGCAUUCGAAACUGGCAGGCUUGAGUCUCGUAGAGGGGGGUAGAAUUCCAGGUGUAGCGGUGAAAUGCGUAGAGAUCUGGAGGAAUACCGGUGGCGAAGGCGGCCCCCUGGACGAAGACUGACGCUCAGGUGCGAAAGC
rnacentral:rRNA from 1 species